UACGUAGGGUGCGAGCGUUUGUCCGGAAUUAUUGGGCGUAAAGAGCUCGUAGGCGGUCUGUCGCGUCUGCUGUGAAAACCCGAGGCUCAACCUCGGGCCUGCAGUGGGUACGGGCAGACUAGAGUGCGGUAGGGGAGAAUGGAACUCCUGGUGUAGCGGUGGAAUGCGCAGAUAUCAGGAAGAACACCGAUGGCGAAGGCAGUUCUCUGGGCCGUAACUGACGCUGAGGAGCGAAAGCGUGGGGGAGCGAACAGG
rnacentral:rRNA from 1 species